GAUGAACGCUAGCUACAGGCCUAAUACAUGCAAGUCGAGGGGAAACGCCAUCGGAAGCUUGCUUUUGCUGGGCGUCGACCGGCGCACGGGUGAGUAACGCGUCUCCCAUCUGCCCAUCACUUGGGAAUAACCUUGCGAAAGUAAUACUAAUACCCAAUGAUAUCCCACGAAGGCAUCGGAAUGGGAUUAAUGUUUUAUCGCUUAUGGAUGGGGAUGCGUCUGAUUAGCUUGUUGGCGAGGUAACGGCUCACCAAGGCAACGAUCAGUAGGGGUCCUGAGAGGAGGGUCCACCAGAUUGGAACUAAGGUACAGACCACACUGCUAGGGGGGGGAGCGGAAAGGUAUAUAAGUGGAUAAAGGAGGGCGUGAACCAGCCGAGUAGCGUGCGAGAAGACGGGCAUAUGGAUAGUAUGCUACUUUUAAAAGAGAAAAAAGUAAGUAACGUGUGACUUUUUGCAUGUACCUAAUGAAUAAGGACCGGCUAAUUCCGUG
rnacentral:rRNA from 1 species